UCCGCGUAGGCAUUAGGUUGAGCUUUGGCUCUUAGUUGGACAAUUUGUAAUUGUACUAUAUCUAUAAUGUAUAUAAUAUUCACAAAAGAGAACUGGAGUGGAGCUAUUUAGACCCCUCCAUUAAUAUCUUCAAACCCCAAUUAUUAUUUUUAUUUUUACUAAAAUUUUACUGUUAACCAAAAUUACUGAAAUGGGAAUCAAAAUGCUUUACAAUUUCUAGACAUUCAUCCUCAACUCAAAAUACCAGCAGCCUCUACCCUUUCUGUUGCUUUUGAUUUGAUUUGAUCAACUAUUCAACUUUCAAAUUCUUCUCCACCAAUUUCUACAGCUAUUUCCCAAGUCCCUUCCGAAAAGAUCUUCGAAGAAAACUGAAAUUCGUAAAAACAAGUCUAUUUUCAAGGGGGAAGGAAUGAUACAAACUCUUAAAAUAAUUAAAAUUAUUUAAUUUUAUGUUAUUAGUUAAUUUUGAACUAGUCAAAAGUAAUUACACUUUGUAGAACUACAUGUAAGUAGUGGAGCAUUAUGUGAAAACAUGCUUAGUAUUACUAAUUCUUAAGUUGUAAUCUUAAAUAAACUUUAUUAUAUAAAACUUGAUGUUAUUCAAUAACAAGUAUCAUAAGUUCAUUAUUUUGGCAACGUAAAAAUUGUAAUUGAAAGUUUAUUGGUUUCUUAAAUAACCAAUACUUAUUUGGAAGUUUGGAUUUUCUCGAAUUAACUGAGUUUCCUCGAAUUAAUCCCAUUUGUCAUCUAAUUUUUCUGUUUUAUUUGAUUUCUCCUCCUAAACAUUAUUGUCCAUAUCACAAUGAAAUUCAGAUCAUUAGGCUGUCCCAAAAAAUUGGAGGGUUAAUUACUAAGCAUAUUCAGGAUUAUAGAUCACAAUGAGACCGAAAAUACAUGCUACACAGGGUAUGGAGACAGACAAAAAUUCAGGAAGAAAAAUGAGAAAAGAAAACCCUGUUAAGCAAAAGCAAAAUUUGUAAAAGGAAAGAAAAAUACAUCAAGAAUACAACCCACCAUUGACCUAUUUUCAAGCUUGUACGUUAUCUCUGACUCCACUGCAAUGUAAAAUGUUGUUGAGCUUUCGCAUUUGCACGAUGUCGUUCAUAGCAAUUCCCACUGCCGCUUUAACAAAUCAAUGCGGUCAGAUCAGUAGGGCCGCAAAUGCUGCUGAUAUCAGUAAAUGAAUUCUGGAAACUGGCAGGCUUGUAGCCCCAGAGAAGGGGCUUACAGGUCCGGACGCCACAGGAGGCAGAAACCCCCCUCUCGUGCUUGAAUGAGAGCUGUUUCAAGAUAUUAAAUGUUUAGAGCCACCCACAAUAGAUAAAUAAAUAGAACUACGGUUUAUAAUUCAGGACAGUUUAAAUGUAAAUAAAUUCAGAUUCUCACCUCCCUGCAUACGUACAGGAUCCGUAACCUGUAAGAAAGUAACCAAUGACACAAAAUCAGAAAAAAUAUAAGAAAAAUGAAUAGAAGGAAAUGAAAUGAAAGACAGAUAUAGAUUGCUCAGUACAAGAAACAGUGCAAGCUUAAUGAUGUAUAGUAGAAAGUCACGUAAGUACUACGCUUUUUUCAGAAAGUCACCUAAGUACUACCAUUUUUUUUUUGUAUGAAGUCACUCAAGUACUACUUUUUUCUUUUUUUUUGUUUCCCAGGGAAUCAGUUAAGUUCUUGUUUUAGAAGGUCCUACCAAACACCUCUUUGAGUUUUGAUCAAUUCAAUUAUUGAGAACAAUUUUUAUUUCUCCAAAAAUCUAUUAAAAAAAAAGUACCUAACGCUCCAUUUCAUUUACCAAAUUUUCGAUGGACUCCAAACAGUGUUUCCUUAUCAAUAGCCACGAGUCAAAAUGAGCAGGCUAUAUAUGAGUAGCUUAUAAUGGACUUACAGAUUCUUCUACGUUUCAUCAUUUCCAGCUUCAUAUAUAACAAAAUAAUAAUAAUAAUGAUAAUAAAUAAAACAAUUGUUGCCGUCAAUUUAAUUUGUCAAAAGUGAUUUAGUGUUAUGAAGCAAGUGCGUGAGAAAUGCUACAGUACUUCACUUGCUACUUAAUAGGAAAAUUGAUUCCAAUCGCAUGCUGUAGUUAGCAAUGAAACUGAAAGCGAUGAUUGAGUCAAUAACUCAUAUUCAGUGUUUCCAAAGGUGACCGAGUUAAUUAUUACAUCAUUUAAGAAUCAACUUAAAUUUGCCUCUUAUUAUUAUUCGAAUUCAGGCGAUUGUGCCAACCAAGCUGACUUGGGGGUAUUAUAGAAUAUUUAGUACUUCAUAUGGAAUCCAUGUAAGUAAAAUACUGCUUAAUCCAUGUAAUUAAAAUACAGUUUUCUCAAAUGCUUUCAUUUUACAAAGAGUAACAAUCUAAUAAUUAUAAUCAGACUUCAAUCAAACAUAUUGUUGAGACAUAUGUAUUUUAAAUUGAUACAUCGGAUCCGUCCGCGUAGGCAUUAGGUUGAGCUUUGGCUCUUAGUUGGACAAUUUGUAAUUGUACUAUAUCUACAAUGUAAUAUUCACAAAAGAGAACUGGAGUGGAGCUAUUUAGACCCCUCCAUUAAUAUCUUCAAACCCCAAUUAUUAUUUUUAUUUUUACUACAAUUUCACUGUUAACCAAAAUUACUGAAAUGGGAAUCAAAAUGCUUUACAAUUUCUGGACAAUCAUCCUCAACUCAAAAUACGAGCAGCCUCUACCCUCUCUGUUGCUUUUGAUUUGAUCAACUAUUCAACUUUCAAAUUCUUCUCCACCAAUUUCUACAGCUAUUUCCCAAGUCCCUUCCGAAAACGAUCUUCGAAGAAAAAUGAAAUUCGUAAAAACAAGAAGUCACUUUUAUUGUUUAUUCAUUGGUAUCAAAGUAACAAUACGUUGAGAAGAAACUUCUCUUAUCUUCUACAUAAAUUACUCUAUAUAGGGUGUGUUGGAGAAUUAACAAAUAAAACACACAAAAAACACACUAUUUUAUUUCUUCAACAACACUCCUCACCAAUUAAAACUCUUAUUUUUCACUCUCUACACCUUAGAGAUUUUGG
rnacentral:lncRNA from 1 species